CCUACGGGGGGCAGCAGUGAGGAAUAUUGGUCAAUGGGCUUACGCCUGAACCAGCCAAGUCGCGUGAGGGAAGACUGCCCUAUGGGUUGUAAACCUCUUUUGUCAGGGAGCAAUUGGCGCUACGUGUAGCGUUAUCGAGAGUACCUGAAGAAAAAGCAUCGGCUAACUCCGUGCCAGCAGCCGCGGUAAUACGGAGGAUGUGAGCGUUAUCCGGAUUUAUUGGGUUUAAAGGGUGCGUAGGCGGUCCGUUAAGUCAGCGGUAAAAUUGCGGGGCUCAACCCCGUCGAGCCGUUGAAACUGGCAGACUUGAGUUGGCGAGAAGUACGCGGAAUGCGCGGUGUAGCGGUGAAAUGCAUAGAUAUCGCGCAGAACUCCGAUUGCGAAGGCAGCGUACCGGCGCCAGACUGACGCUGAGGCACGAAAGCGUGGGGAUCGAACAGGAUUAGAUACCCUGGUAGUC
rnacentral:rRNA from 1 species